GACGAACGCUGGCGGCGUGCUUAACACUUGUAAGUCGAACGGUAAGGCCCUUCGGGGUACACGAGUGGCGAACGGGUGAGUAACACGUGGGUGAUCUGCCCUGCACUUCGGGAUAAGCCUGGGAAACUGGGUCUAAUACCGGAUAGGACCACUGCCUGCAUGGGUGGUGGUGGAAAGCUUUUGCGGUGUGGGAUGGGCCCGCGGCCUAUCAGCUUGUUGGUGGGGUGAUGGCCUACCAAGGCGACGACGGGUAGCCGGCCUGAGAGGGUGACCGGCCACACUGGGACUGAGAUACGGCCCAGACUCCUACGGGAGGCAGCAGUGGGGAAUAUUGCACAAUGGGCGCAAGCCUGAUGCAGCGACGCCGCGUGAGGGAUGACGGCCUUCGGGUUGUAAACCUCUUUCAGCACCGACGAAGCGCAAGUGACGGUAGGUGCAGAAGAAGGACCGGCCAACUACGUGCCAGCCGCCGCGGUAA
rnacentral:rRNA from 1 species